UGGUUAAGUGAAUAAGGGCGUACGGUGAAUGCCUUGGCACUAGGAGCCGAUGAAGGACGGGACGAACACCGAUAUGCUUCGGGGAGCUGUAAGUAAGCUUUGAUCCGGAGAUUUCCGAAUGGGGGAACCUCAUUGUUUUUAUCGACAAUGGUCCACUCAGUGAACACAUAGCUGAGUGGAAGGUAGACGUGGUGAACUGAAACAUCUCAGUAGCCACAGGAAGAGAAAGAAAAAUCGAUUUCCCGAGUAGCGGCGAGCGAAACGGAAAGAGGCCAAACCAGCGUGCUUGCAUGCUGGGGUUGUAGGACUGAUGGACGGGAGUGAAUGAGCUAGUCGAACGCCAUGGAAAGGGCGAUCAGAGAGGGUGACAAUCCCGUAGGCGAAAGCUCAACCACCUCAUUCAGUAUCCUGAGUACGGCGGUACACGUGAAAUUCCGUCGGAAUCCGCCAGGACCAUCUGGCAAGCCUAAAUACUCCCUAGUGACCGAUAGUGAACCAGUACCGUGAGGGAAAGGUGAAAAGCACCCCGGA
rnacentral:rRNA from 1 species